UACGUAGGGUGCGAGCGUUAAUCGGAAUUACUGGGCGUAAAGCGUGCGCAGGCGGUUUUGUAAGCCAGAUGUGAAAUCCCCCGGGCUUAACCUGGGAAAUGGCAUUUGGGACUGCAAGGCUCGAGUGCGGCAGAGGAGACUGGAAUUCCUGGUGUAGCAGUGAAAUGCGUAGAUAUCAGGAGGAACACCGAUGGCGAAAGGCAGGUCUCUGGGCUGACACUGACGCUGGAGGCACGAAAGUGUGGGGAUCAAAACAGGA
rnacentral:rRNA from 1 species